UCUAGAAGCUUCGACAAUGGACGAAAGUCUGAUCGAGCGACGCCGCGUGCAGGACGAAGGUUUUCGGAUCGUAAACUGCUUUCGACAGGGAAAAACGGUAUGUAGGCUAAUACCCUAUGUAUUUGAUGGUACCGGGAGAAGAAGCCCUGGCUAACUCCGUG
rnacentral:rRNA from 1 species